UCGUUUUUAAGGUUAAAAACGCUGUAACUCCUUCAUUUUUUCGAAUUUCGAAAAUUUUCUAGCAUUCCGCAGUUCGAAAUUCGAAGACGCAAAGGCUAACCCCUUAUGAAAAAUUUCAAUUUUUGAUGUGAAAAAAAUUUUCGAGUUGAGUAUAGAGCAUUGAAGAUUAUGGCGAAAAAAUCGGUUUAGCGCAACUCCUAUGUUUUUUCUUCAAAAAACAAGCUCAAAAUCGCAUAAUGGAUAUUCAAAAGAACGCAAGAAAAUCAAUAUGGGCUUGAAGUUGCUAUAACUACUUAGUUUUACGAACUCCAAAUUCUAAGGACACAGUUCGAUUCUUGAAGUAAAUUUCUUUUCGUUAUAGUGCUGGAUGAAACAAUACUCUUUUCAUUUCCUUGGAAACUUUAGAGUAUUACUUCAAAAUCGCAUAAUUGAUAUCCAAAAUUUCAAAAAAAACCUAUACACCGUUGGAUUCGUUGCGAAAAUCUCUUUCCGUAGUGGUGCUACAUGAAGCAAUACUGUAAAGUUUUCUAUGAAAAACAUGGCAAAAAGCAAGCUUUUUUGGGCGUAAAAACUCAAGGUCGUUUUUAAGGUCAAACACGCUGUAACUCCUUCAUUU